CACCCUACCUACACCGACAGUUAUUUCCUUUGCCAACAGAGAAAUUGUUGCUAAGCUGAUAUGCAGUCAAAACAAUACAUAUUCAACUAUUAUCCUCACCUAGAAGCAGGUUCAAGAUGAACACAUACUGCACCGCAAUGAAAAUAUGUUCAGAAUCAUGCAUAUACAUUGAACACCAGUAGAAAAACACAUCAAUCUUGACAAAGCAUAGUUUUGGCCAUCUUCACAAUCACCCAAAACACACAAGUUACAAAAAGAUGGGACUAUUUGCUAGUAUGAGAGACUUCAACUAAGAUGGUCCAAAACACACAAGUCUGUAUCUACGUUCACAAAGUGCAAGCUCUGAAACACCAAAUGGUCUACAACACACGUAAUAUCCAUGUUUACAGGUUGGUUGGUCCAUAAACGCUGCAAAGUCAUCACAUCCAUGUGCACCAGUUGGGUAAGUACAUGAAAACAGUUUGCACACAUUUGUCAGGAAAGUGGAAUCGGCGCAAGUUGUUCAAAAGCUAAUAUGUGGAUUAACACAGAUUUGAUCAAUAAAUUCUCAUGAUAACAUAGUUAACAAUAUAGUUUGUACAAAUGUUAUAAUUAGCUCACAUGCUAUUAUAUAGAACUGUAUUCCAGUGCUUGCAGUCUUAUCAACAAUGAAUGCAUUGACCAUUUGAAACAAAGAUCCUACAACCCAGUAGCUUAGUUUAUAGACUGUUACAUAAGAAUUCACUAAAGAAAAGAUAGUGUAUUUCCCAACCUCCCUCGAUUUUUCAUGAUUAAGAGCUACAUAACCAUGGAUAAAAAAAAGGAAACUACAACACAUGUACACAGGCAAUUUAGUGAAACACAUAGGCCAGCAACCUUGUAAAGCGACAUUUUAGAAACUGUUCUUAUGCAAUAACAUGUGAGCUAAUUACUACUGAAACAAAAAAUGUACCUAAUAGAUGAGGUAACCGGCGAGGAAGCCCUGCAUUCGCCACCGGUUGCCCACUGCAAGUCGUGGCCCUGGUUCCUUGUGAGGUCGCCUUCCAUCCACCAUUCGCUUUACGUGAAGUGGGCAACCAUCCGUUCUCCGCCCAUUGCCUGAGCUGCAUGCUGGUGGUUGUGGUUCUCGGCUAUUAUCGGCAAGACUAGAUGGGUUAGUAACUUGUUUCUUAGUGAUUGGCAUUGUAAUGAUGACAACUGUAUUUAACUGCACUAGUUGCAUGUAUUUUUUACUCUAACUAUGUGCAGUUGACAUAGGCAUAUCAAGGUGGAACACUGAAUUUAAGCAUAAAAAGUACAUGACUAAGCAAUAUAUAUUGCGCAAGUUCAAAAGUUCAUGCUUAAAUGUGCAAAGUGUUCAUAAGUACAGGACUGAGAAAAUAAGGGACUACAAGACAGGAGACUACACCAGCUAUUCCCUUGUUGUAUCUUAAUAAACUAUCUUAUGCUCAGAUAGCAGUCAGGAUUCAACAAGUCCUCUGAGCAGUAAAGUGAACCAUACAAGUUAUUUAUUUAUAUGGUUGAACGUUGAAGGAGUGGUGGUGAGCUUCAGGGAUUAUGGCUAGUCAAGCAAUGUAUGCUGACAAUUCGCUAUCGCACACACUCCAAUUCUAAUAGUACAAUUUCUCAAAUGUACACAGAAAAUCAAGUAGAUAGAACAUCUCAGGCUUCAGGUUGCAGAUUACAGUUAACACCUCAAAUGUCCACAGUAUUUCAACUUGGUAGAAAAGGGUAAACAUAAUUACAUAAUAUCCUGAUAAUUCUAGUUUGGUUCACAAUUGCCAUUCCAUUCCAAAGUAAGCGCAAGCUAAGUGUAACAUCAUAGAUUGAAAUGGUCGAUUACAGUCAACAAACAAAACCUUUCGUAAGGACUGGA
rnacentral:lncRNA from 1 species